GCCUGGCUGGCUCAGUCAGUAGAGCAUGAGACUCUGGAUCUAGGAGUCGUGAGUUCGAGCCCCACGCUGGGUG
rnacentral:tRNA from 1 species